rnacentral:ncRNA from 2 species
UCUUUGAGUAUUAAAAAGUAGGAACAACCCUUGGCGCUUCUUCCCUUUAGCCAAGCAUAUUACAAGCGGUUUAUCCGCCAAAGGAGAAUUAUAUG